rnacentral:rRNA from 1 species
CGAAGGGGGCUAGCGUUGUUCGGAAUUACUGGGCGUAAAGCGCGCGCAGGCGGCUAUCCAAGUCAGUGGUGAAAGCCCGGAGCUCAACUCCGGAACUGCCAUUGAAACUGUUUAGCUUGAGGACGAGAGAGGUGAGUGGAAUUCCCAGUGUAGAGGUGAAAUUCGUAGAUAUUGGGAAGAACACCGGUGGCGAAGGCGGCUCACUGGCUCGUAUCUGACGCUCAGGCGCGACAGCGUGGGGAUCAAACAGGAUUAGAUACCCUGGUAGUCCACGCCGUAAACGAUGAAUGCUAGCCGUUGGGCAGCUUGCUGUUCAGUGGCGCAGCUAACGCAUUAAGCAUUCCGCCUGGGGAGUACAGUCGCAAGAUUA